GGCUGGUCCAAGUGCAGUGGUGUUUACAACUAAUUGAUCACAACUAGUUACAGAUUCCUUUGUUUCUUCUCUGCUACCACUGCUUCACCUGACUAGCCUUUU
rnacentral:Y_RNA from 1 species